AGUGAACGCUGGCGGUAGGCCUAACACAUGCAAGUCGAACGGCAGCACAGGAGAGCUUGCUCUCUGGGUGGCGAGUGGCGGACGGGUGAGGAAUACAUCGGAAUCUACUCUGUCGUGGGGGAUAACGUAGGGAAACUUACGCUAAUACCGCAUACGACCUACGGGUGGAAGCAGGGGAUCUUCGGACCUUGCGCGAUUGAAUGAGCCGAUGUCGGAUUAGCUAGUUGGCGGGGUAAAGGCCCACCAAGGCGACGAUCCGUAGCUGGUCUGAGAGGGUGAGCAGCCACACUGGAACGGAGACACGGUCCAGACUCCUACGGGAGGCAGCAGUGGGGAAUAUUGGACAAUGGGCGCAAGCCUGAUCCAGCCAUACCGCGUGGGUGAAGAAGGCCUUCGGGUUGUAAAGCCCUUUUGUUGGGAAAGAAAUCCAGCUGGCUAAUACCCGGUUGGGAUGACGGUACCCAAAGAAUAAGCACCGGCUAACUUCGUGCCAGCCGCCGCCGUAA
rnacentral:rRNA from 1 species